rnacentral:misc_RNA from 1 species
UGGACGCGGCUCUCUGUAGGCAUAUAUGUACGUCGAUGCGUGCGUCCGUGUGCGUGAACCGUCAGCGAACACGCCGUCAGAAAAAUAACGUACUGUGGAAUCGGUCGUUUGGCAAUUUUUACCAAGUGCAACAGCAUCGUUCGGCAUCGUUGCGCCGGUAGAAAAGGUGAAAUUUAGGAAAUAAAAGGGCGGAGAAAUACGCGCGGAACCAAGCGCCGCGGGAUGCUUUAGAAUUUUAGAUUUUCUCGGUGGCUCGUUCAGGGUGUUGAACUUGUUGCAGCAGUUUUUAAUUAUUGAAAGUAACACGGGGAAGUGUGCAACGUGCAUACGGUGCAAGCGUUUUACCAGCGAAAUUGUUACAGCGUUGCUCAUUGUUUCGCCAGCCAGAAAGUACCCUUUUCCGUUUUUUAUUUGCCCGGGCUGUGGCUGCAGACGAUACGAAACAGUGUUUUUGGGUGAUCACUACGAAAGCCGGAAACGCGCUUGGUGACGGGGAAGUUAAACUAUUUGAAAAAGUGUGUCUGUUCGCUUCUUUUAACUGGCCCUCGAUCGAGCUUUGAAUAAACAGUGGAAUGGACAAACCUCUGUAUGGUUCACGAUUACAGUUCCCGACAUGAACGAUACCCUUAUGUCGAAACUUUUACCGAAAGCGCGAAGACGAGUAUCAAAUUUUCUGCUGUUUUAACCAACGAGGAACCGAGGAAGCGCGGGAUGAAAGAAUUCUCGGCAGUUUAGCAGGGGAGGUUUCCUACGUCGAUUAGCAACGAGACAACGAGAAGGCAAAGGUUGGACGCAAACGGGAACACCGAGAACACCGACGCCAUUCGCUAUACUCUCGGACUCCUCCGUUAAUUAAUAAAGUAGCCGCGUAAACUAACAGUUUUACUGCGGAACCGACAAACUUAAUACAAGAGAAACAGCUUUUGUUCCUCCGCAGUAGUGUAACGAAGUCGCCUGUGGAAGCCAGUUCGAG